rnacentral:rRNA from 1 species
AUUGAACGCUGGCGGCAGGCCUAACACAUGCAAGUAGAACGAGUGGCGGACGGGUGAGUAAUGUCUGGGAAACUGCCUGAUGGAGGGGGAUAACUUCUGGAAACGGUAGCUAAUACCGCAUACCAUCAGAUGUGCCCAGAUGGGAUUAGCUUGGUGGUGGGGUAACGGCACACCAAGGCGACGGUCCCUAGCUGGUCUGAGAGGAUGACCAGCCACACUGGAACUGAGAAACGGUCCAGAUGCCUACGGGGGGCAGCAGUGGGGAAUAUUGCACAAUGGGCGCAAGCCUGAUGCAGCCAUGCCGCGUGUAUGAAGAAGUCCUUCGGGUUGUAAAGUACGUUCAGCGGGGAGGCGUUACCCGCAGAAGAAGCACCGGCUAACUCCGUGCCAGCAGCCGCGGUAAUUC